ensembl:lncRNA
GGGCGGAGGAGGAGGAGACAGGCGUCAGCCGUUCCUCAAAGCCCGGGGGGGGGUCCCGAGCAGGCCGCUGCCGUCCAGGAGGACGUUCCAGAGCGGGCCGCCGCCGUCCAGGAGGACGUUCCAGAGCGGGCCACUGCCGUCCAGGAGGACGUUCCCGAGCGGGCCGCUGUCGUCCAGGUGGACGUGCCCGAGGUUCCCGAGGCGGUGCCCGAUGCCGAGGCCGUUCCCGAGGCGGAGCCCGAGGUCGUGCCCGAGGCCGUUCCCGAGGUGGUGUCCUUGUCCAAUGCCGUUCCUGAGGCCAUUCCUGAUGCCGUUCCUGAGGCCAUUCCCGAGGCGGUGCCCGAUGCUGUUCCGGAGGCCGAUGCGGGGCCCGAGAUGGUUCCGGAGGCGAUACCCGUGUCCAAGGCCGUUCCCGAGGCGGUGCCCUUGUCUGAGGCCGUUCCCGAUGCCGUUCCCAAUGCCGUGACCUGGCCACAGCCUGCUCCUUACUGGCUCCCCGAUUGGCAGGUUCCGUUCGGGCCACUCAAAUGGCGAAUUCCUCCCUGGCCGUCUGCACAACGAGAAUGGACUGAUCCACCGUGGCCACCUGAACUGCCUGGUCCCUCGUGGUCCCCUGAACUUUCGGGUCCACCGUGGCCACCUGAACUGCCUGGUCCCUCGUGGUCCCCUGAACUUUCGGGCCCACCAUGGCCCCCUGAUCUGACCGAGCC